AGCAGGGUAGCAAUACCGCUGACGACCGGCGCACGGGUGAGUAACACGUAUCCAACCUACCAUCCAUACGGGGAUAGCCUUUCGAAAGAAAGAUUAAUACCCGAUAGUAUAGCGAUAAGGCAUCUUAUUGCUAUUAAAGAAUUUCGGUGUUUGAUGGGGAUGCGUUCCAUUAGAUUGUUGGUGAGGUAACGGCUCACCAAGUCUUCGAUGGAUAGGGGUUCUGAGAGGAAGGUCCCCCACAUUGGAACUGAGACACGGUCCAAACUCCUACGGGAGGCAGCAGUGAGGAAUAUUGGUCAAUGGACGAGAGUCUGAACCAGCCAAGUAGCGUGAAGGAUGAAGGCCCUAUGGGUCGUAAACUUCUUUUAUAGGGGAAUAAAGUGCGGAACGUGUUCCGUUUUGUAUGUACCCUACGAAUAAGGAUCGGCUAACUCCGUGCCAGCAGCCGCGGUAAUACGGAGGAUCCGAGCGUUAUCCGGAUUUAUUGGGUUUAAAGGGAGCGUAGGUGGACGUAUAAGUCAGUUGUGAAAGUUUGCGGCUCAACCGUAAAAUUGCAGUUGAUACUGUAUGUCUUGAGUGUACAAGAGGUGGGCGGAAUUCGUGGUGUAGCGGUGAAAUGCUUAGAUAUCACGAAGAACUCCGAUUG
rnacentral:rRNA from 1 species